rnacentral:rRNA from 1 species
UACGUUCCCGGGUCUUGUACACACCGCCCGUCACACCAUGGGAGUUGGUUCUACCUUAAGUCGGUUCUUCAAUCUGGAGGCCGCCCACGGUAGGGUCAAUGACUGGGGUG